rnacentral:rRNA from 1 species
GAGUUUGAUCCUGGCUCAGGACGAACGCUGGCGGCGCGCCUAACACAUGCAAGUCGAACGAGCCGAGGGGAGCUUGCUCCCCAGAGCUAGUGGCGGACGGGUGAGUAACACGUGAGCAACCUGCCUUUCAGAGGGGGAUAACGUUUGGAAACGAACGCUAAUACCGCAUAACAUACCGGGACCGCAUGAUUCUGGUAUCAAAGGAGCAAUCCGCUGAAAGAUGGGCUCGCGUCCGAUUAGCUAGUUGGCGGGGUAACGGCCCACCAAGGCGACGAUCGGUAGCCGGACUGAGAGGUUGAUCGGCCACAUUGGGACUGAGACACGGCCCAGACUCCUACGGGAGGCAGCAGUGGGGGAUAUUGCACAAUGGAGGAAACUCUGAUGCAGCGACGCCGCGUGAGGGAAGACGGUCUUCGGAUUGUAAACCUCUGUCUUUGGGGACGAUAAUGACGGUACCCAAGGAGGAAGCUCCGGCUAACUACGUGCCAGCAGCCGCGGUAAUACGUAGGGAGCGAGCGUUGUCCGGAUUACUGGGUGUAAAGGGAGCGUAGGCGGGGUCUCAAGUCGAAUGUUAAAUCUACCGGCUCAACUGGUAGCUGCGUUCGAAACUGGGGCUCUUGAGUGAAGUAGAGGCAGGCGGAAUUCCUAGUGUAGCGGUGAAAUGCGUAGAUAUUAGGAGGAACACCAGUGGCGAAGGCGGCCUGCUGGGCUUUUACUGACGCUGAGGCUCGAAAGCGUGGGGAGCAAACAGGAUUAGAUACCCUGGUAGUCCACGCCGUAAACGAUGAUUACUAGGUGUGGGGGGACUGACCCCUUCCGUGCCGGAGUUAACACAAUAAGUAAUCCACCUGGGGAGUACGACCGCAAGGUUGAAACUCAAAGGAAUUGACGGGGGCCCGCACAAGCAGUGGAUUAUGUGGUUUAAUUCGAAGCAACGCGAAGAACCUUACCAGGUCUUGACAUCGAGUGACGGCUCUAGAGAUAGAGCUUUCCUUCGGGACACAAAGACAGGUGGUGCAUGGUUGUCGUCAGCUCGUGUCGUGAGAUGUUGGGUUAAGUCCCGCAACGAGCGCAACCCUUAUUAUUAGUUGCUACAUUCAGUUGAGCACUCUAAUGAGACUGCCGUUGACAAAACGGAGGAAGGUGGGGAUGACGUCAAAUCAUCAUGCCCCUUAUGACCUGGGCUACACACGUAAUACAAUGGCGAUCAACAGAGGGAAGCAAGACCGCGAGGUGGAGCAAACCCCUAAAAGUCGUCUCAGUUCGGAUUGCAGGCUGCAACUCGCCUGCAUGAAGUCGGAAUUGCUAGUAAUCGCGGAUCAGCAUGCCGCGGUGAAUACGUUCCCGGGCCUUGUACACACCGCCCGUCACACUAUGGGAGUCGGUAACACCCGAAGUCAGUAGCCUAACCGCAAGGAGGGCGCUGCCGAAGGUGGGAUUGAUGACUGGGGUGAAGUCGUAACAAGGUAGCCG